UUACAGUUCUCAGAAAUCUCUCCUAAAUAUAUCCAGCAUCAUGAAGUUGGAUUCCCAAAUCCUUUGGAGCAACUGUCCAUUUCCUCAGUCUGAUGUUAUCCAUCUAUGCUAGCCUGAUUACAUUUUGGUUGAAAACUAUGGGAGUUGCAAUCUAAGAGUCCAGAGGACAUGAGCAAAAAGCUACCUCUGACAACAGCCAUGAAUCAUCGGAAAUGGAAUACCUGAGGUGAGGAGAGAAAGAGAGAGAAUGAAAGGCAGAUGGCGCUGAACGG